rnacentral:rRNA from 1 species
UACGGAGGGUGCGAGCGUUGUCCGGAAUCACUGGGCGUAAAGGGCGCGUAGGCGGUCUGCUAAGCGUGCGGUGAAAGCCCGGGGCUCAACCCCGGGUCGGCCGUGCGAACUGGUGGACUGGAGCUUGUCAGAGGCAGGCGGAAUUCCGGGUGUAGCGGUGGAAUGCGUAGAGAUCCGGAAGAACACCGGUGGCGAAGGCGGCCUGCUGGGACAGUGCUGACGCUGAAGCGCGACAGCGUGGGGAGCAAACAGG